rnacentral:rRNA from 1 species
UCAGAACGAACGCUGGCGGCAGGCUUAACACAUGCAAGUCGAGCGCCCCGCAAGGGGAGCGGCAGACGGGUGAGUAACGCGUGGGAACGUACCCUUUGCUACGGAAUAGCUCCGGGAAACUGGAAUUAAUACCGUAUGUGCCCUUCGGGGGAAAGAUUUAUCGGCAAAGGAUCGGCCCGCGUUGGAUUAGCUAGUUGGUGGGGUAAAGGCCUACCAAGGCGACGAUCCAUAGCUGGUCUGAGAGGAUGAUCAGCCACAUUGGGACUGAGACACGGCCCAAACUCCUACGGGAGGCAGCAGUGGGGAAUAUUGGACAAUGGGCGCAAGCCUGAUCCAGCCAUGCCGCGUGAGUGAUGAAGGCCCUAGGGUUGUAAAGCUCUUUCACCGGAGAAGAUAAUGACGGUUC